rnacentral:rRNA from 1 species
UACGUAGGGGGCGAGCGUUGUCCGGAGUUACUGGGCGUAAAGCGCACGCAGGCGGUCUGCUAAGUUUGGAGUGACAGUUGGUGGGCUUAACUGCCAAAGUGCUUCGAAAACUGACAGACUUGAGGGCUUCAGAGGGACACGGAAUUCCGGGUGGAGUGGUGAAAUGCGUAGAGAUCGAGGAGACACCAAAGGCGAAGGCAGUGUCCUGGGGAGUACCUGACGCUCAGGUGCGGAAAGCCAGGGGAGCGAACGGG